AUAGCUCAAUUGUGUGUAUACAAAAUCUACAGACUACACCUACUAUACAUAUCAGCCAUGAAUACCAAACCCUUUUCUCUUGUUCUCAUACUCCUCCUCUUGACUAUUGUUUCGCCCCUAACAUCUGCUAGGAAACUCUUUGCUGAAACUCAAGUCUCGGCAUCAGGAGACUUGGGGCACGCAACAGGCCAUGUAGUUUACAAACCUUUGAAGAAAAAACCCAUAUGUAAUGGUUCGAGGUACAGCAGCUGUUUUCCUGCCCCCCCAAAAAAGCCACCAUGCAAUCCUUACCAUCGCAACUGCAAUUAAACCAAGCAUGUAAUCUGCGACCGGGCUAAGGAUAUAUAUAUAUUAUCAAAUAAAUAAAUGAGUUGAGUAGAAAAUUUGCAGUAUGAUGGUGUGCACUAGAUAAACCCACUCAUAAUGUUUAAGUAUGAGAAUCGUAUUCUAUUUAUCCUGACACCCUUUGAAGGCAAUAAUUAUUAUUCCAUCUCUGUAGCUAUAAGUUACUUUCCUUUGCUUCCUUAUGGGGAUAUAUUAAGUAAUAAAAUAUAAAAAGUUUAUGGACUUUA